UGAACGCUGGCGGCAGGCCUAACACAUGCAAGUCGAACGGUAACAGGAAGAAGCUUGCUCUUGCUGACGAGUGGCGGACGGGUGAGUAAUGUCUGGGAAACUGCCUGAUGGAGGGGGAUAACUACUGGAAACGGUAGCUAAUACCGCAUAACGUCGCAAGACCAAAGAGGGGGACCUUCGGGCCUCUUGCCAUCGGAUGUGCCCAGAUGGGAUUAGCUAGUAGGUGGGGUAACGGCUCACCUAGGCGACGAUCCCUAGCUGGUCUGAGAGGAUGACCAGCCACACUGGAACUGAGACACGGUCCAGACUCCUACGGGAGGCAGCAGUGGGGAAUAUUGCACAAUGGGCGCAAGCCUGAUGCAGCCAUGCCGCCGUGUAUGAAGAAGGCCUUCGGGUUGUAAAGUACUUUCAGCGGGGAGGAAGGGAGUAAAGUUAAUACCUUUGCUCAUUGACGUUACCCGCAGAAGAAGCACCGGCUAACUCCGUGCCAGCCGCGGC
rnacentral:rRNA from 1 species